UUUUCUUUUUUUUUUUUUUUUUUGGUACUGGGAAUCAAACUCAGAAUCUUGCACUUGUCAGGCAGGCACAGCCGCACUGAACUACAUCCCCAGCCCUUUGGAGUCCAUUCCACCAGUAAUACUGAGCAAGUUUUUUGUCCACAUAUUUAGUUGGAUAGAGGUGUAAAAACAUUUAAUCAGUUACCUGAAAACACUGGAUUGGUUCAACUCCAACUCUGCCACGGACACUCAGCUAUGAACUUUACCCUGGGUUUUCUCUAAAAUGUUAAGAGAACAAUACAUAGAAUAAGGAAUAUAGAAUGACUGAGGUGUUGUCUUUUUUUUUUUUUUUUCAUUUUAAAUGAGAAUACCUGUCAGGUUGGAGUACACAAAACUUAUGGGGCUGUAAAGUUUUACUGUUUUUGUUGUAAGUUUAUUGUUUCAUACUUAAGAAUCAGAAAUGUUUCUGCUUGUGGAAUCAGGUUUGCUUAAUUGACUCUUAGUUGGGGCUGUUGCAUGCACACUGAGCAGCAGUGAGUGCUUGUUCUCAGCCUUGCCUCCUUACCACCUCAUGUAUACAGGUUCUUUUCUUAACCCGUUAAGCAACAAACUAGUUUUAUUUGUAUUUCUUUGACUACCAGUGAAACAGCCCUUGUAAUGUCUCACUGGGCAUAUGUGUUACUUUAAUCCCCAGUUCAUGCUCAUGUUUACCUGUUAGCCUCUGCUGCCUUCUGUCACCAAGAGCGCACCACCCACUUUUCCUUUUGAGCGCCCCCACAUCCCUGCAAGUAAACCUGCGCGUGCGCAGUGUGGCAUUGCUCCACCCUCAGCUACCACAGCGGCCCAGUUACCCGGGGCAGUGCCCUCCCCCAGAGGAAAUGGCCAGCGAAGGUCACUGAGGUACAAGCACGUAUUUUCUGAGGCUUUUUUAGAUAUCAAAGAGACACCUUCUUGCAAGUAGUAUGUCGCGAGGAGUAACAUUUCUUGCUGAAGCUAAUUUUUCUAAUAAAAGUCAACCUGAGGUGGUACCUAGAAAACAAAAGGAACUCUGAAUUGGAGAACCAGAUGCAAUCUGGAACCUCUGGAUGGAAUCAGACCUGAAGGGAGAUGUUUCUGGAUCUUCACCAACAUAGAUCAAUACAUUCAUUUUUUGUAUGAGCAACUAUAACUUGGAUUGGGGAACAACUAAAUAUACAAUAUAUGUGUGUUUUACUGAGGAUUGAACACGGC
rnacentral:lncRNA from 1 species